CGAGCGGAACGAUCCUAGCUUGCUAGGAGGCGUCGAGCGGCGGACGGGUGAUUAAUGCAUAGGAAUCUGCCCGGUAGUGGGGGAUAACUUGAGGAAACUCAAGCUAAUACCGCAUACGCCCUACGGGGGAAAGCAGGGGCUCUUCGGACCUUGCGCUAUCGGAUGAGCUUAUGUCGGAUUANCUGGUUGGUGAGGUAACGGCUCACCAAGGCGACGAUCCGUAGCUGGUCUGAGAGGAUGAUCAGCCACAUCGGGACUGAGACACGGCCCGAACUCCUACGGGAGGCAGCAGUGGGGAAUAUUGGACAAUGGGGGCAACCCUGAUCCAGCCAUGCCGCGUGUGUGAAGAAGGCCCUCGGGUUGUAAAGCACUUUCAGCGAGGAAGAAUGCUUGUCGGUUAAUACCCGGCAAGGGAGACAUCACUCGCAGAAGAAGCACCGGCUAACUCCGUGCCAGCAGCCGCGGUAAUACGGAGGGUGCGAGCGUUAAUCGGAAUUACUGGGCGUAAAGCGUGCGUAGGCGGCUUGAUAAGCCGGUUGUGAAAGCCCCGGGCUCAACCUGGGAACGGCAUCCGGAACUGUUAGGCUAGAGUGCAGGAGAGGAAGGUAGAAUUCCCGGUGUAGCGGUGAAAUGCGUANAGAUCGGGAGGAAUACCAGUGGCGAAGGCGGCCUUCUGGACUGACACUGACGCUGAGGUACGAAAGCGUGGGUAGCAAACAGGAUUAGNUACCCUGGUAGUCCACGCCGUANACGAUGUCGACUAGCCGUUGGGGUCCUCGAGACCUUUGUGGCGCAGUUAACGCACUAANUCGACCGCCUGGGGAGUACNGCCGCAGGUUAAAACUCAAAUGAAUUGACNGGGGNCCGCNCAGCGGUGGAGCAUGUGGUUU
rnacentral:rRNA from 1 species